rnacentral:rRNA from 1 species
CCUACGGGUGGCAGCAGUAGGGAAUCUUUCACAAUGGGCGAAAGCCUGAUGGAGCAACGCCGCGUGCAGGAUGAAGGCCUUCGGGUUGUAAACUGCUUUUAUCAGCGAGAAAUAUGAUGGUAACUUAUGAAUAAGGAUCGGCUAACUACGUGCCAGCAGCCGCCGUAAUACGUAGGGGGCAAGCGUUAUCCGGAUUUACUGGGUGAAAAGGGAGCGUAGACGGUGCGCCAAGUCUGGAGUGAAAUGCCGAGGCUUAACUGCGGAACUGCUUUGGAAACUGGCGAACGAGAGUGCGGGAGGGGUAAGCGGAAUUCCUAGUGUAGCGGUGAAAUGCGUAGAUAUUAGGAGGAACACCGGUGGCGAAGGCGGCUUACUGGACCGUAACUGACGUUGAGGCUCGAAAGCGUGGGGAGCAAACAGGAUUAGAUACCCGUGUAGUC